CCUACGGGAGGCAGCAGUGGGGAAUAUUGCGCAAUGGGCGGAAGCCUGACGCAGCGACGCCGCGUGGGGGAUGACGGCCUUCGGGUUGUAAACCUCUUUCGACCUCGACGAAGAGUGAUUGACGGUAGGGGUGGAAGAAGCACCGGCCAACUACGUGCCAGCAGCCGCGGUAACACGUAGGGUGCGAGCGUUGUCCGGAAUUAUUGGGCGUAAAGAGCUCGUAGGCGGUGUGUCGCGUCGGCCGUGAAAACCUGCAGCUUAACUGUGGGCGUGCGGUCGAUACGGGCAUCACUGGAGUUCGGCAGGGGAGACUGGAAUUCCUGGUGUAGCGGUGAAAUGCGCAGAUAUCAGGAGGAACACCGGUGGCGAAGGCGGGUCUCUGGGCCGAUACUGACGCUGAGGAGCGAAAGCGUGGGGAGCGAACAGGAUUAGAUACCCUA
rnacentral:rRNA from 1 species